rnacentral:rRNA from 1 species
AGUCGUAACAAGGUUUCCGUAGGUGAACCUGCGGAAGGAUCAUUACCGAGUUCGUGCCCCUCCCGGGGUAGACCUCCCCCCCUGCUUACAUCUCCCUGCGUUGCUUUGGCGGGUCGCUCGAUCUAGUCGAGCCACCGGGCUUCCCGGUGCGUGCCCGCCAGAGGUCCCCCAAUCUCGCGUUGAACGUAUGUCGUCCGAGCCCAUGACUAUAGAAGAAUAAAACUUUCAACAACGGAUCUCUUGGCUCUGGCAUCGAUGAAGAACGCAGCGAAUUGCGAUAAGUAGUGUGAAUUGCAGAAUCUAGUGAAUCAUCGAAUCUUUGAACGCACAUUGCGCCCCCCGGCACUCCGGGGGGCAUGCCUGUUCGAGCGUCAUCAUCAUCCCUCAAGCCUUAGCUUGGUGUUGGGGCCCGCGAGCUCUCGCAGCCCCUAAAUCUAGUGGACCCGUUCCCCUAGCCGAGCGUAGUAGAAACCCUCGUUCCGGCUGGUAGGGAGCUGUGGGCCAGUAAACCCCUCGACGCAUUUGACCUCGGAUCAGGUAGGAGUACCCGCUGAACUUAAGCAUAUCU